rnacentral:snRNA from 1 species
AAAUUCAGGGGGAUGUAAAAACCUGUCACCAUAUCAAUUACUUGGAUUAAUUUGGAUGAUCUGGCUGGCUAGGUAGGUGCCACCUUACUCCCUCAACACUCCACGUAGGAUUCUUUCUUGAAGCUGUACAUUCAGUGGAAGAGAGAAACCUUCCAUAGUAGAGGAAGACUAUUCUUUGGUCAAGAGUACAUGAAUAGUUGAUUACCCCUGCUAGAACUUCCAAACAAGCUCACCAACACAGGAGCCUGUAGAGAGCAGCAUUGAACAUAAAUGUCAGUUUAGAAAUAGCCGUAAUAAUUAAUUGGGGGAAGUAAACCCCUUAAAAUGAGGCUUUGAGCCAGGCGUUGGUGGCGCACGCCUUUAAUU